CGCAGCCGCGGUAAUUCCAGCUCCAAUAGCGUAUAUUAAAGUUGCUGCAGUUAAAAAGCUCGUAGUUGAAUUUCGGGACCAAUAUGCCGGUCGUGCCUCCGGUACGCACUGGUUUUAUUGGUCUCUCCCUUCUGACGAACCAUGAUGUCAUUAAUUUGGUGUCAUGGGGAAUCAGGACUGUUACUUUGAAAAAAUUAGAGUGUUUAUAGCAGGCUCACGCUUGAAUACAUUAGCAUGGAAUAAUGAAAUAGGACGUUUGACCCUAUUUUGUUGGUUUCUAGGAUCGACGUAAUGAUUAAUAGGGAUAGUUGGGGGCAUUAGUAUUCAAUUGUCAGAGGUGAAAUUCUUGGAUUUAUUGAAGACUAACUACUGCGAAAGCAUUUGCCAAGGAUGUUUUCAUUAAUCAAGAACGAAAGUUAGGGGAUCGAAGACGAUCAGAUACCGUCGUAGUCUUAACCAUAAACUAUGCCGACUAGGGAUCGGAUGAUGUUAAUUUUUUAAUGACUCAUUCGGCGCCUUA
rnacentral:rRNA from 1 species